CUUGCACGCUGGCGGCAGGCCUAACACAUGCAAGUCGAGCGGAUGAAGGGAGCUUGCUCCUGGAUUCAGCGGCGGACGGGUGAGUAAUGCCUAGGAAUCUGCCUGGUAGUGGGGGAUAACGUCCGGAAACGGGCGCUAAUACCGCAUACGUCCUGAGGGAGAAAGUGGGGGAUCUUCGGACCUCACGCUAUCAGAUGAGCCUAGGUCGGAUUAGCUAGUUGGUGGGGUAAAGGCCUACCAAGGCGACGAUCCGUAACUGGUCUGAGAGGAUGAUCAGUCACACUGGAACUGAGACACGGUCCAGACUCCUACGGGAGGCAGCAGUGGGGAAUAUUGGACGAUGGGCGAAAGCCUGAUCCAGCCAUGCCGCGUGUGUGAAGAAGGUCUUCGGAUUGUUAAGCACUUUAAGUUUGGAGGAAGUGCAGUAAGUUAAUACCUUGCUGUUUUGACGUUACCAACAGAAUAAGCACCGGCUAACUUCGUG
rnacentral:rRNA from 1 species